AAGAAAUAUUAUCUCGGUACAUUUUUUCGGACAAACUACUUUAGAGCAUCAGAAUUUUGCCGACAUCAUAAUAUGUUUUUAGCAUCAAUCGAAACGCGAGAACAAGACUUAUGUUUGGGACGCCACUUACGCAAAAUGGCUGGAUCAUCUUUUAGGUCCUAAAACGGCUAAUUACUGGGUGGGCGCAUCUGAUCUUGGUUACGAGGGCCAUUUCGUUUGGCAAUCCACCGGCCGACCACUAAAGUACACAAACUGGCAUUCCCAUGGUCCCAAUAAUUGGUGCGACGAAACAAAUGUAUGUGAAAAUUGCGUCGGUCUUUGGUAUGUAGGAAAGAAAA